UUGGCCAGCUGCAGAGCUGAGGCGUGGCUGGUGUGAGGCCUCUCUCGCCACAGCCCCGGCCAGUGAGCACUUGGCACCAGCAGGUGGUGGGCAGGGCUCGGGCAGCCGACGGAGGCAGUGCCCGGACCCCCUUUUCAUGUUUGCAGCCAGUAGCGUGGCUGUCACUGUUAUCGGUGCUGGGGCUGGGAGAUUGUACCCGGGGCCGUGCCCCUGCUGGGCGUGCAGCCCAACACAGAGCUGAACCCCGCCCUCCCAUUCUUCAUCCUGAGACCCGGUCUCUCCAACCUGCCCGGGCGGCACUUGAACUAGUGACCUUCCUGCUUCAGCCUCCCAAGCAGCUGGGUUACAGUGCCUGUCACAGCACUGACCCACAGGAGGGCGUGCUGUGCUUUGAACCCAG
rnacentral:lncRNA from 1 species